UACGUAGGGUGCAAGCGUUAUCCGGAAUUAUUGGGCGUAAAGAGCUCGUAGGCGGUUUGUCGCGUCUGCCGUGAAAGUCCGGGGCUCAACUCCGGAUCUGCGGUGGGUACGGGCAGACUAGAGUGAUGUAGGGGAGACUGGAAUUCCUGGUGUAGCGGUGAAAUGCGCAGAUAUCAGGAGGAACACCGAUGGCGAAGGCAGGUCUCUGGGCCGUAACUGACGCUGAGGAGCGAAAGCAUGGGGAGCGAACAGG
rnacentral:rRNA from 1 species